AUGCGGCUAUUCAGCAUUUGGGUUGUGUGGAGCACCAUUCUAGCAGAUCCGAGCCAUGGAAAUUCUGUCACUCAGUCACUGUCCUCAGCUGUUUGGGCAGAAGGAGAGGUGGUGACUCUAAGCUGUACCUAUGAUACUACAUGGAGCAACUAUUGGUUAUACUGGUACCGACAGCAGCUGGGUACACAGCCUGAGUAUAUACUGUUGAAAUCUAAUGGUGGCUUUGAUCAUAAAGCAGACUUCGCGAAAAGUCGCUUCUCAGGAGAACUUCAGACCUCGAAUAAAUUCACCAGUUUGACUAUCACUGGGCUAGAACUGACUGACUCUGCCGUGUAUUACUGCGCUCUGAGUGACACAGUGAUGAUAAACAGACUCUCCACUGUACAAAAACUGCCUUUUAGACCACAGAUAGUUCCAUCUAUUGGGGUUUUCACAGUAAGAAUGACCCGAAUCCUCCCUGCUCUGAACAAGCUGCCAAAAUAUAUCCUGUCUGUGACACCAACCGAACCAUUGCACAAAUCUGAGCAAGGUAUCGGUACUGCAGUUAGUUCGAGGCUUCCAGAGGCAGAAUGA